rnacentral:lncRNA from 1 species
AUCUCAUUCAGAAAUACUAACCCUAUCCUCUGUUUUAAGCUGAAGAAUGGGAGAAAUGAAGGCUCUGCUGAUGGUUCUGCUUCCUGUCUUCUGUUUUAAGGGGAGUCUUAACACACCUCCUAGCUGGGAACCAGUGAAGUCCAUCACGUGCUAUGAAUGCUCACAGUCUGGCUCCUACAAAUGUGACAAUGUCAAAGUGUGUAACAGCACUUCAGGCUUGUGUCAGCUGAUCACCUAUGAAAGAAAAGAUGGUGAAAAAAGGAUUAGACAAUUCUGUGCAAACGACUGUAAGCUCCCUACAUCACUCUUCAUUGAUGCAGUGAAGUAUCAUGCUUUGUGCUGUUCUUUUGCUUUUUGCAAUAGCAUACAGUAUUACAGAGAGGUGACAGGAGGCUAUGCAAACAUCGCAGUGUCAGGCUUCACCACUAAUCUCUUCUGGGUCUACUUUAAGAUUAUACUGCUAUAUAUUGAGCUGGCAGAUUGAAACUCCCCACACCCCACAGCUCUGCCUCAGUUCAAUCAUAUUCCUUUAGUAAGAAUAGAAUCUCUUCCCUGUCUGGCUUUGUAAUUGGUCCCUCAAACUCCCCUUGGUAAAUAUGUCCAUGGUUUCAAAUCCUGUCUCUGCUGUUUACUUGCUAGCUAUGUGACCUUGGAUAAUUAAUUUAACCUCUCUGGGCCUCAGUUUCUUGCUUGAGAAAAUGGAGCAGGGAUCUAACCCUGCUUCAACAAAGACUGACAUGCUAUGUGAUAUUGGGCAAAGUCACCAACCCUCAGCUCUUCCCUUGAGAAAUAGGGACAGCAGUGGCUUCUCCCCCAUACUUGGGGGAGAUGAACGAUGAUGGAAUCAGUGAAUCAGAUGUAUGAGCAUCUGCAUGUUUGGAAUGUAAGACCUCAUCCAUUAGCAACUCUGGGAACUUUGGGUCAGAGGCCAGAAGAACUUGGAGCUUGAUAAUAAUCACUGACAUUUCCCUGAGUACUGGACAGUACUGCCACGUACCUUUUCUGCCUUGAGAUACUGGCCCCUUAGCUGCUUCCCAUCUCAGCUCUGCAGUGGCCUAAUCCCACUGCACAUUCCCUGGUCAUUUCCUUUGUCUUCUCUUCCCCAUGGGGUCUCUAGGGUCUGGUUGUUGUCUUUUUUCUUCAAACAUUCCUUUAAAGAAUAAAAUGGUUGGCUUUU